GAUGAACGCUGGCGGCGUGCCUAAUACGUGCAAGUCGAGCGAACAGACGAGGAGCUUGCUCCUCUGAUGUUAGCGGCGGACGGGUGAGUAACACGUGGAUAACCUACCUAUAAGACUGGGAUAACUUCGGGAAACCGGCGCUAAUACCGUAUAACAUGUUGAACCGCAUGGUUCAACAGUGAAAGACGGUCUUGCUGUCACUUAUAGAUGGAUCCGCGCCGCAUUAGCUAGUUGGUAAGGUAACGGCUUACCAAGGCAACGAUGCGUAGCCGACCUGAGAGGGUGAUCGGCCACACUGGAACUGAGACACGGUCCAGACUCCUACGGGAGGCAGCAGUAGGGAAUCUUCCGCAAUGGGCGAAAGCCUGACGGAGCAACGCCGCGUGAGUGAAGAAGGUCUUCGGAUCGUAAAACUCUGUUAUUAGGGAAGAACAAAUGUGUAAGUAACUAUGCACGUCUUGACGGUACCUAAUCAGAAAGCCACGGCUAACUACGUG
rnacentral:rRNA from 1 species